rnacentral:rRNA from 1 species
GACGAACGCUGGCGGCGUGCUUAACACAUGCAAGUCGAACGGAAAGGCCCUGCUUUUGUGGGGUGCUCGAGUGGCGAACGGGUGAGUAACACGUGAGUAACCUGCCCUUGACUUUGGGAUAACUUCAGGAAACUGGGGCUAAUACCGGAUAGGAGCUCCUGCUGCAUGGUGGGGGUUGGAAAUUUUCGGCGGUUGGGGAUGGACUCGCGGCUUAUCAGCUUGUUGGUGGGGUAGUGGCUUACCAAGGCUUUGACGGGUAGCCGGCCUGAGAGGGUGACCGGCCACAUUGGGACUGCGAUACGGACCAGACUGCUACGGGAGGCAGCAGUGGGGAAUAUUGCACAGUGGGCGGAAGCCUGAUGCAGCAACGCCGCGUGCGGGAUGACGGCCUUCGGGUUGUAAACCGCUUUCGCCUGUGACGAAGCGUGAGUGACGGUAAUGGGUAAAGAAGCACCGGCUAACUACGUG